rnacentral:lncRNA from 1 species
GAUUCAGACUGAAAACACAGUAACUCCUCUGGCCCUUGCUGGGAAAUGUCCUGCCCAGGCCAUGGGCAGCACUCCGGUGCAGCUGACCUCCCACAAGACCCCCAAACACAUGAUCCUACCAAACGCUUGAACAGGAGAACCUCACGAGCAGGCAGAGAGCACACCUGAGACACAGGACAAGUAAGUCAAGCAAAUGGGACUGAGAUUAAAGCCAGUGAAUAAAAUUAAAGGUCACUUUAAAGGAGUAUAAAGCUACAGUGGACAUAACGUGGCAUAGGUGAUCUUGACACCACAGAACUGUGAAGCCUGAAAUCCUACAAUAUAGAGGGGUAUGAGGAAGACAUCUCAGGAUACUGAGGAGUGUUGCAGAGGACCCACAAAUAGUGCUGAGCAUGAGAUGGUGGACAACAAACCCAUUUUUGGUGUGUUGCAGCAAGAGCACUGGCCUGCCAUGACCUGCUACAUUCUACCUGGAAAUACAAGUCAGAAGUCAGCCUGUCAUAUUUUUUCAAAAGGUGACUUGUCAAAAUAAGACUUCUUUCAUAAAAUCAGUCUGAUUGGGCAUGGUGGCUCAUGCCUGUAAUCCUAGCACUUUGGGAGGCUGAAGUAGGCGAAUGGCUUGAGCCCAGGAGUUUGAGACCAGCCUGGGCAACAUGGCAAAAUCCUAUCUCUACAAAAAAUACAAAAAUUAGCCAGGCAUAGUGUCACACACCUGUGGUCCCAGCUACUCAGGAGACUGAGAUGGGAGGAUCACCUGAGCCCGGGAGGUUAAGGCUGCAGUGAGCCAGGAUUGGGUCACUGCACUACAGCAUGGGUGACAGAGUGAAACGCUGUCUCAAAAAACAGCAACAAAAAAAUCUCUCAAUCUGUCCAAAUAGGCAGAUUGUCUUCAGUAAUCUUUCCAUUGCGAUCUUGCUUUGUUUCUACUACUACUCUGAUGCUACAUAAUUAAGGUCACCAGUUGUUGUCACUGUCUUUCCAAACCUGUUGUUCCUUACUUCCUCCAGCCAUUCUUCCUUGUCCCCCUCCCAUUCAUCAUCCAGACACCACACACACACACACAGACACACACACACACAGACACACACACACAGACACACACACACCACACAGACACACACACACACACACACAAACAUACAUUUUAACAAUACCAAACUCCUUGUAGUUCCCCUAAAUGAAUCAUGUUGUUUCCCUUACCUGAAAUGCCCAAUCCCUUUUUUAUUUUCAUUGCUAACUCCUCUCAUCUUUCCAGAGUGUUCACGUCUACCAGGAGUGUUCUUGUCCCUCCCAUUCCUUUCUACUCUAGCUCCACUCACAGUUCUGUGUGAUCCCAUCUUGUGGACUAUCCUGUGUUAAAAAGAUUUGUUUACUGAUUUGAUUCUUCCCUCCACUACACCCCCCCAUAACACAAAAUUGGCCCCUUAAAAGCAGAAAUGUUGCCUCACUGUUCUCUAGCACCCAGUGGAGUGUUGGGUAUGAAUGUCAGUCGAACUGUACUCUCUCCAGUGUGCAUUUUGUUCCAGAAGACUAGGUAAUAGCAGGACCAUUAGAAGCCUCAUCUUCAGGGCUGUUUGACAUUGAUUUUUUAAAAAUACAUUUCCUGAGGUCUCACUAGUGCCAGAAUAUGAAAAAAAUAAUCAUUCUUCUCUGACUAAAGUGGAAUCACCAGUGAUUUAUUCUCUCCUUAAUCAGUAAUACUAGCUAACAUUUAUAUAGCCCUCAUUAGGUCCCAAGUACUUUGAACAUAUCAUCUUAUUUCAUGUCUAUAACCACCUUCAGUGGUAGGCACUGUUGUUACCCUCCAAUUUACAAAGGAGGAAACUGAAGUGCAUGGAGGUUAAGUAAGUGGCAAGCUAGAAUCUGGAUACAGGUUGUCUGGUUCCAGGGACCAGGCAGUUAGCCACUGUGCUAUGCGGCAUGACUUCUUGCUUUCCUUGCCCUUUUUUCUUAAAUGUUUAAUUAUAUAAGUAGCAUAUCAAUACAUUUAAAUUGUCAAAAAUUCAGAAACAAAGGAAAAACUCACUACUAUUUGAUGGAUAUCAUUCAAGAUCUUUUUCUUUGUUUAUGUACAUAUAUACAUUAUGUGUGUGUACAUACACACAAAGAAAUAUGUAUUUUUAUGUAACUGGAUUAUGCUUUAUUUUUCUAUAGAUUUGUUUUCAUUUAACAAUUUGUCUUAAAAGUCUUUUUAUAUCGAUGCAUAUAGAUCUAUUUUAUUCUUUGAAUGUUGCAUAGUAUGGAUAUAUUCCAUAGUAUGGGUAUAAUAUAGCUUAGGUAACCAUUUUUCUUUUGCGAGUCAUUUAUGUUGUUUCUGAUUUCACUGUUACAAACCAGGCUGCACUGAGUAUCCUUGAACAUGUCUCUUCACAUUCAUGCAACUAUAUGUCUAGGAAAGAUCCUCAGAAAUAAAAUUUUUGGGAUGAAG